CCUACGGGUGGCAGCAGUGAGGAAUAUUGGUCAAUGGGCGAGAGCCUGAACCAGCCAAGUCGCGUGAAGGAUGACGGCCCUACGGGUUGUAAACUUCUUUUGUCAGGGAGCAAUUGGGUCCACGCGUGGGCUUAGCGAGAGUACCUGAAGAAAAAGCAUCGGCUAACUCCGUGCCAGCAGCCGCGGUAAUACGGAGGAUGCGAGCGUUAUCCGGAUUUAUUGGGUUUAAAGGGUGCGUAGGCGGAAUGCCAAGUCAGCGGUAAAAUCGCGGGGCUCAACCUCGCUCCGCCGUUGAAACUGGCGUUCUUGAGUGGGCGAGAAGUAUGCGGAAUGCGUGGUGUAGCGGUGAAAUGCAUAGAUAUCACGCAGAACUCCGAUUGCGAAGGCAGCAUACCGGCGCCCAACUGACGCUGAAGCACGAAAGCGUGGGUAUCGAACAGGAUUAGAUACCCCUGUAGUC
rnacentral:rRNA from 1 species